rnacentral:rRNA from 1 species
UACAGAGGGUGCGAGCGUUAAUCGGAAUUACUGGGCGUAAAGCGCACGUAGGUGGCGACGUAAGUCGGGUGUGAAAGCCCCGGGCUCAACCUGGGAAUUGCAUUCGAGACUGCAUUGCUGGAGUACGGAAGAGGAGGGCGGAAUUCCCGGUGUAGCGGUGAAAUGCGUAGAUAUCGGGAGGAACAUCAGUGGCGAAGGCGGCCCUCUGGUCCAGUACUGACACUCAAGUGCGAAAAGCGUGGGGGAGCAAACAGG